rnacentral:snRNA from 1 species
AUCACAUCUCGGCCUUUUGGCUAACAUCAAAUGUAGUAUCUGUUCUUAUCUGAUAUGUCUACUAUCAGAGGACAAUAUAGUAAAUGGAUUUUUGGAACUAGGAGUCGAAUUGGAGCUUGCUCCGUCCACUCCACGCAUUGACCUCAUAUUGUAGUACCUCCAGGAAUGGUGCACCCCUC